UACGAAGGGGACUAGCGUUGUUCGGAUUUACUGGGCGUAAAGCGCGCGUAGGCGGAUCGCUAAGUCAGGGGUGAAAUCCCAGGGCUCAACCCUGGAACUGCCUUUGAUACUGACGAUCUGGAGAUCGGGAGAGGUUGGUGGAAUUCCGAGUGUAGAGGUGAAAUUCGUAGAUAUUCGGAGGAACACCCGUGGCGAAGGCGGUUCUCUGGGACGGUACUGACGCUGAGACGCGAAAGCGUGGGGAGCGAACAGG
rnacentral:rRNA from 1 species